UGAGGAAUAUUGGUCAAUGGGCGGGAGCCUGAACCAGCCAAGUCGCGUGAAGGAAGAAGGAUCUAUGGUUCGUAAACUUCUUUUGCAGGGGAAUAAAGUGCAGGACGUGUCCUGUUUUGUAUGUACCCUGAGAAUAAGGAUCGGCUAACUCCGUGCCAGCAGCCGCGGUAAUACGGAGGAUCCGAGCGUUAUCCGGAUUUAUUGGGUUUAAAGGGUGCGUAGGUGGUUUGAUAAGUCAGCGGUGAAAGUUUGCAGCUUAGCUGUAAAAAUGCCGUUGAAACUGUCGGACUUGAGUGUAAAUGAGGCAGGCGGAAUGCGUGGUGUAGCGGUGAAAUGCAUAGAUAUCACGCAGAACUCCGAUUGCGAAGGCAGCUUACUAAGCUACAACUGACACUGAAGCACGAAAGCGUGGGGAUCAAACA
rnacentral:rRNA from 1 species